rnacentral:rRNA from 1 species
GUCUAUGGCCAUACCACCCUGAACAUGCCCAAUUUCGUCUGAUCUCAGAAGGUAAGCAGGGUUGGGCCUGGUUAGUACUUGGAUAGGAGAAAUAGAACUACCCUACAAUCCAGUAAUCACACUAC